rnacentral:lncRNA from 13 species
CAGUUUUUUUAAUAUCAAGAAUUCUGAACUGAAAGAUUAUAAAGGGUCAUGGAGAAAACUAGUUAUAGUCCAAAGUGGAUAACUGAAACAGAUACCAAGAAGACAGAAUGUGUUCCUCUAUCAAAGGUGCUGACUCUGCAAGGACUUGAAUGGUUUUGCUUUUAGAUAUUCUCAGUAUAGUAGAAGAUGCCACUUUGCAAGAGAUGAUUACAACAAUGUGUUCUAUGCCAUAAACAGCACAUGUCUAAAAUGGUAAUGCCACAUUAAGGAGGGAUGUAAUUGAGA